CCAGGUAGUUAGUUUAAACUAAAACAAAUGAUUUCGACUCAUUAGACUAUGACCUACUCAUAACUACUAAC
rnacentral:tRNA from 1 species